GAUGAACGCUAGCUACAGGCUUAACACAUGCAAGUCGAGGGGAAACGGCAUUGAGUGCUUGCACUCUUUGGACGUCGACCGGCGCACGGGUGAGUAACGCGUAUCCAACCUUCCCAUUACUGUGGGAUAACCUGCCGAAAGGCAGACUAAUACCGCAUAGUCUUCGAUGACGGCAUCAGAUUUGAAGUAAAGAUUUAUCGGUAAUGGAUGGGGAUGCGUCUGAUUAGCUUGUUGGCGGGGUAACGGCCCACCAAGGCUACGAUCAGUAGGGGUUCUGAGAGGAAGGUCCCCCACAUUGGAACUGAGACACGGUCCAAACUCCUACGGGAGGCAGCAGUGAGGAAUAUUGGUCAAUGGACGGAAGUCUGAACCAGCCAAGUAGCGUGCAGGAGGACGGCCCUAUGGGUUGUAAACUGCUUUUGUAUGGGGAUAAAGUUAGGGACGUGUCCCUAUUUGCAGGUACCAUACGAAUAAGAACCGGCUAAUUCCGUG
rnacentral:rRNA from 1 species